CAGCACCUCAAGUGGUCAGGAUGAUUAUUGGGCCUAAAGCAUCCGUAGCCGGCGCUGUAAGUUUUCGGUUAAAUCUGUACGCUCAACGUACAGGCUGCCGGGAAUACUGCAGCGCUAGGGAGUGGGAGAGGUAGACGGUACUCGGUAGGAAGGGGUAAAAUCCUUUGAUCUAUUGAUGACCACCUGUGGCGAAGGCGGUCUACCAGAACACGUCCGACGGUGAGGGAUGAGAGCUGGGGGAGCAAACCGGAUUAGAUACCCGAGUAGUCC
rnacentral:rRNA from 1 species